AUUGAACGCUGGCGGCAGGCCUAACACAUGCAAGUCGAGCGGAUGAAGGGAGCUUGCUCCUGGAUUCAGCGGCGGAAGGGUGAGUAAUGCAUAGGAAUCUGCCUGGUAGUGGGGGAUAACGUCCGGAAACGGGCGCUAAUACCGCCUACGUCCUGAGGGAGCAAGUGGGGGAUCUUCGGACCUCACGCUAUCAGAUGAGCCUAGGUCGGAUUAGCUAGUUGGUGGGGUAAAGGCCUACCAAGGCGACGAUCCGUAACUGGUCUGAGAGGAUGAUCAGUCACACGGGAACUGAGACACGGUCCAGACUCCUACGGGAGGCAGCAGUGGGGAAUAUUGGACAGUGGGCGAAAGCCUGAUCCAGCCAUGCCGCGUGUGUGAAGAAGGUCUUCGGAUUGUAAAGCACUUUAAGUUGGGAGGAAGGGCAUUAAGUUAAUACCUUGCUGUUUUGACGUUACCAACAGAAUAAGCACCGGCUAACUUCGUG
rnacentral:rRNA from 1 species